AGAGUUUGAUCCUGGCUCAGGACGAACGCUGGCGGUGUGCUUCACACAUGCAAGUCGAACGAGGUAGCAAUACCUAGUGGCGGACGGGUGAGUAACGCGUGGGAAUCUGCCUUUAGAUGGGGGAUAACGGGUCGAAAGACUCGCUAAUACCGCAUAUGACGAAAGUUGAAAGGAGUAAUCCGUCUAAAGAUGAGCCCGCGUCCGAUUAGCUAGUUGGUAGAGUAAAAGCCUACCAAGGCGACGACCGGUAGCUGGUCUGAGAGGAUGAUCAGCCACAAUGGGACUGAGACACGGCCCAUACUCCUACGGGAGGCAGCAGUGGGGAAUUUUACGCAAUGGGCGAAAGCCUGACGUAGCGACACCGCGUGAGCGAAGAAGCCCCUUGGGGUGUAAAGCUCUGUCAGCUGGAACGAAAAAAAUGACGGUACCAGCAGAGGAAGCAUCGGCUAACUACGUGCCAGCAGCCGCGGUAAGACGUAGGAUGCAAGCGUUGUCCGGAUUUAUUGGGCGUAAAGAGUUCGUAGGCGGUUCGUUAAGUCUGAUGUUAAAGAUCGGGGCUCAACCCCGGGAGUGCAUUGGAUACUGGCGGACUGGAGUGCGGUAGAGGCUAGUGGAAUUCCCAGUGUAGCGGUGAAAUGCGUAGA
rnacentral:rRNA from 1 species